UACGGAGGGAGCUAGCGUUGUUCGGAAUUACUGGGCGUAAAGCGCGCGUAGGUGGCUUCGUAAGUCCGUUGUGAAAGUCAAAGGCUCAACCUUUGAAAGCCGAUGGAUACUGUGAAGCUAGAGUACGGAAGAGGCGAGUGGAAUUCCUGGUGUAGCGGUGGAAUGCGCAGAUAUCAGGAGGAACACCAAUAGCGAAGGCAGCUCGCUGGGACGUUACUGACACUGAGGCGCGAAAGCGUGGGGAGCGAACAGG
rnacentral:rRNA from 1 species